rnacentral:misc_RNA from 1 species
GAUGAAGAACGUAGCGAAAUGCGAAAAGUAGUGUGAAUUGCAGAAUUCAGUGAAUCAUCGAAUCUUUGAACGCACAUUGCGCCCGCUGGUAUUCCGGCGGGCAUGCCUGUUCGAGCGUCAUUUCAACCCUCAAGCCCCCGGGUUUGGUGUUGGGGAUCGGCUCUGCCCUUCUGGGCGGUGCCGCCCCCGAAAUACAUUGGCGGUCUCGCUGCAGCCUCCAUUGCGUAGUAGCUAACACCUCGCAACUGGAACGCGGCGCGGCCAUGCCGUAAAACCCCAACUUCUGAAUGUUGACCUCGGAUCAGGUAGGAAUACCCGCUGAACUUAAGCAUAUCAAUAAGCGGAGGA